GGAGGGAGCUGUCGAAGGUGGGACUGGCGAUUGGGACGAAGUCGUAACAAGGUAGCCGUACCGGAAGGUGCGGCUGGAUCACCUCCUUU
rfam:Streptomyces sp. MMG1533 P407contig203.1, whole genome shotgun sequence.